GGAUCACUCUACAGGGAGACACACAUGAUUUGAUGCUGAGUGUUUUAUCUAGCGAAAUCCUGUCACUUAGGUCGAUCGGUACCUCAGCUUUGAAGUUAAGACGAUACAGAAAUGUAUGGUGCUUGAUGGAGAUUUUCAGUUUCUAAACUUUGUCUAGGUCACACCCCACAAGGGUUGAGUUUUCCUGGGCCAUUAGCUCAGGUGGUUAGAGCGCACCCUGAUAAGGGUGAGGUCCCUGGUUCAAGUCCAGGAUGGCCCAUUCGGUGUUGGGGGUUUAGCUCAGUUGGUAGAGCGCCUGCUUUGCAAGCAGGAUGUCAGGAGUUCGAGUCUCCUAACCUCCACUGACCGAACUUAAUCUCCAUCUUCUGAUUGAUUGGAAGGUGAACUCGAGUGUGAGAGGUGUGAUUUAGAUGUGUCCGCUGGCAUGACCCCAGCUUCCUGUCAUUCCAAGAUUGAGUGAGCAAUCACGUUGAUUUUGGUUGAUAAGAUGCUGGGCUCGAACUGAGCGAUCAGUUUGAUGUCUAGCAGAACCUUGACAACUGCAUAGCUGAGUCUGGAAAGAAUAAAGCAUCUCUCAUGGAUGCAUCAUUUCUUUUUGGAAUGAUGUUGAUUCUUGAGCAAGAGCCGAGACUCCAUCACGUUCUUUUCAUUGUGUCGAGCAAUGAAGAGUUUGAUCAUUGAUUCAGCAAUGAAUCAGUGAGAAUCUGUUUCAACGACGGCAAGCGUGUUGGAGAUUAUAUGGUCAAGCUACAAAGGGCUCACGGUGGAUACCUUGGCACACAGAGGCGAUGAAGG
rnacentral:tRNA from 1 species